GCCGAGCGUAGCGAGACAACGACGCGCAGCGGCGGCCCGAAGGGUGAGGAACGAAGUGACGAGUAAUCCUUCCCCCACCACCU
rnacentral:sRNA from 1 species